GUCCUUCCCACAGCCAGGACCCCAGCCCUCUCCUCCAUCCAGCCCUGGGAGACCUUCUACCUGGGAGCCUUCUAGGGCGCAGGUUCCAGCAGAGACUGGAUAUUGGCGUGCCAAGCAGAGGUCCCCAUGCCUCCUGAAGAGGAGAGGCCAGGGAGUCCUGUUGAAGCCUGUGGGUCUCCCCACCCGAGUUCUGGGGGAAUCCAUGCACUCUGUGGCCAUCGCAUCGACACCACACCUUGGGGCCAUGAGCCUACAGCCGGGAAUGGCAGCUGUGACUGUGCUUCCCCCACAUCCACUGACGCUGGUGACGCCUGCUGUGGCUGGGGCAUGGGCAGAGUGGGAGACGUGGGGCCCCUGCAGUGUCUCCUGUGGAGAUGGGCACUAGAGUCACCCAAGGAGCUAUGUGGACCCCCAACCCAAGAAUAAUGGUGCCCCCUGCCCUGGGGCC
rnacentral:lncRNA from 1 species